CGAUACUUGAUUACGUGAAGUGAUACAGCAAAGGAAAGUGUGAAACGUGGCGAUACGAAAUCUUGGCAUUCAUUAGACACUUUACACAAGUACGCGUGCGUGCAACAUAAUGGCACCCCGAUCCAUAACGCCAUGCACGCUAUGUAAAUCCAUAUCCAAUAAUUUCUACCUGCAAAAAUAUUUAGGGGUUCCUUCAGGCGGGCUUGUCCUACCUAUCGCGUACGCUUGGCCGCCAACGAAAGCAACUUUAAUGAAGUUUUGCAACCCGGAUAUGACAUUUUGUGUGUCCCUUACGCCGAGUACUAUGCAAGUCCGCUGUAAUGUUUUAAAGUUCGGACUUCCACACUACGGACUUAGUGUACGGGUAGGCCUUACGGUUCUCCGCCAAGAGUGCCCCAAACUCCAAUUUGUUUGAUGAAUAUUUGUUUCUGUCAUUAGUUAUAUCAACAUAUUCAUUUAGAACGGUGAGAGACGAGUCCAGGACGAAGAACAUUCGAACAUAGUGUUAGUGUUCGGCCAAGUGGAAACACCCAAAUAGCUCAUCAGUGCACGAUUCGAACGAGGCAUGAAGCCUCUACUGAAGCCCUAAAUGGGUUUUUAUAUCUUUUGAUAAAAACUGGUAUACCCAGCCCUGCCAACCUGCGGCAUCUCUUCAAACUGCACAGUGUUUCCCACUUCUCGCUGCAUCAAACCUUCACAAGGCUCACAGUUAACGCACGCAGGGUUCGAUUGGGGUAAAAGUACACAACCUCACACUUACGGAUAUGAGGGGUCAUGCCAAAUGCUGCGCUGCACCACUCCGUGAGGGCCUUAAGAACGCACUUUAGGUGCCGGUAAUUGUGAGCAAGAAUAUCCAGUCAUCUGCGUACAGCUUCAGGGGAACACGCACCCACCAUCAAUGGGGCACCCAUCGGCACAAAUAGCUGUUGGCGCUGUACAAUCUUUAGCCUCCAUGUAGUCCACGAAGCCCUCAAUGAAAAACCGAACAAUGUGGGGCUGAGGGGGGAAUCUUGUUUGACCUCUUGAACAGAGUCGCAAGGUUCCCCCGUCCUACCCGUUUGCUUUCACGCACACACCUGCUCUUCUGUAACAAGCCUCAGAGCCUUCAGCAUGGCGCCAUGUAUACCGCACUCCUUUAGUCUCAGCAAAAGCAGGCGACGCGGAACACGAUCGAGAGCUUUCUCAUAACUAACCUGACAGACAGAGAACGGGGAUGUAAUGCCAAGGCCAUUCCUAUGCCGGUUAGUAAGGUAGGGUAGGUUGUGUAUGAUGCCUACCUUGGCCCCGAAACCACCCUGCAACGGGGAUCGUGCAUUGGCACCCCAACCUCACUUGCUCAACCGCCGGCCGGCGCUCCAAAACACGAGCAUUACACUUCCCCAGGGUUCCACCCACCGCAAGACCACAAUAGUUGAAAUCCGUAGAAAUCCGUAGAAAUCGCCUUUUUGGGAAUCGGCAUCAAACAAGACAUUUCAAACUGACAAGGGUAGUCCUCCACACUACGGAUGUGUUUGAAAAGCCGAUCAGCGAAGGCGGCAAGAACAUUAAUAAAGUGCCCGUUCACCUCUCUCCUAGCAAUCCGCAGGUACACGAUCGAGCCCACCACAUUUGUUGUUACGGAGAGGUGCUCCCUCAUUUAGGGUGAAUGGUGAGUUCAACUCCUCAGCUGACUCCACACAUUGCCCCCGCGCACCCAUCAUGAAUGUCACGCUGGAUUGACAUUACGGAAUGUGUCCGGCACAUCGUAUAUCAAACGUUGCAACGCCUGGUAAUGUAUAGCAGGAUGACUUACG
rnacentral:lncRNA from 1 species